UACUGAAUUACCCAGAGCUGGGCAAGGGGGAGGGGAAAAUCCCCAGACACCCCCUGGGAACACUCAGACCCCUCUGUGCACCCAAAGUCGGGGAGCAGCAGGAUCCUGCCCCCACACCCCCUCCCCCUCCGCUGUUCUAGGCUUUCCUGCUGCGCCACAAAGGCAAACCCCACCACUGGAUCAGCCUCCGGAGGGAUCCAGGACAGCCCUGGAAAUGGGCCAACGGCACCGAAUUCAACCACCUGUUCGAGAUCCAAGGUGGAGGCGACUGCGCGUAUCUGAAUGACGAGAACGGGGCCAGCAGCUCGCGGUGCAGCGGGGAGAAGCGCUGGGUCUGCAGCAAACCUGACGCAUUUACAAAGGGAAAGGAAGCGGCCGUGGAAGGGAGCUCAUGACAGUGUUACCCAACUUAGCCCUGGGAAAGGCAGCCCGGGGCAUCCUCUGACUCUCCUGUCCUGGCAGGACUGCUCUUUAUGAAGAGAAAAGCUGGAUGCACAUUUCGUCCUGCACCCCUGCCAUGUGUUUUGUCUGCCAGUGAAACUGCUCCAGUCCACGUGCUCCGUUCCUCGGAAGAAGUGGGUUGUGCCCAUGCAAGUUCAUGAUACCUCCUGUAGAUAUGUUGUUGUUAGUUUCCUAGAGCAGACAUGGACUAUUUUGAAAUUACUAAAUUCAAUUUAUGAAUUUUUAAUUUAAAAAAAAAUUCAAACUAGGGCAAUGGUUCUCAAACUUUUUAGCCCAUGGAUCACCUGGCUCUAUGUGAACCUUUCCACGGAGCACCAGUUGCUAAUGGACACUCUCUGUUAAUUACAUCAUUACACCGGAGAGAUUUUUCUAGUGAUGCAACCAGGGAGAAAGGUUUAAUUUAAAUUAAUAAACAGAUUAAGCAUU